UGGUCUUGAAUUCCUGACCUCAGAUGACCCUCCAGUCUCAGCCUCUCAAAGUGCUGGGAUUACAGGCGUGAGUCACCAUGCCCGGCCCCUUAAGUCUAACUCUAUUCCCUCCUGCUGCAAUGCCAUCCUCUCUCCACGCACGGACCCUCCCCAUACCAGGAGGCAGCAGAGAAGAGUUCCAGGGGAGAAGGGGCCUAGAAUCAAGCUGGAAG
rnacentral:lncRNA from 1 species